rnacentral:rRNA from 1 species
CGGAACACGUACAGAACCUUCCUUUAAGCGGGGGAUAGCCCAUAGAAAUGUGGAUUAAUACCCCAUAGUAAUAUUUGGUGGCAUCAUUAGAUAUCUAAAGAUUUAUCACUUAAAGAUGGCUGUGCGGCUGAUUAGGUAGUUGGUGUGGGUAACGGCCUACCAAGCCAGCGAUCAGUAACUGGUGUGAGAGCACGACCAGUCACACGGGCACUGAGACACGGGCCCG